GGACCCGCACAAGUAGUGGAGCAUGUGGUUUAAUUCGAAGAUACGCGCAGAACCUUACCAACACUUGACAUGUUCGUCGCGACUCUAAGAGAUUAGAGUUUUCGGUUCGGCCGGACGAAACACAGGUGCUGCAUGGCUGUCGUCAGCUCGUGUCGUGAGAUGUUGGGUUAAGUCCCGCAACGAGCGCAACCCUCACUUUUAGUUGCCAUCAUUAAGUUGGGCACUCUGAAAGAACUGCCAGUGAUAAGCUGGAGGAAGGUGGGGAUGACGUCAAGUCCUCAUGGCCCCUUACGUGUUGGGCUACACACGUGCUACAAUGAUAUCUACAACAGGAAGCAAGACUGCGAAGUUAAGCAAAUCCCUAAAAGAUAUCUCAGUUCGGAUUGCACUCUGCAACUCGAGUGCAUGAAGCUGGAAUUACUAGUAAUCGU
rnacentral:rRNA from 1 species